rnacentral:rRNA from 1 species
UACAGAGGGGGCAAGCGUUGUUCGGAAUUACUGGGCGUAAAGCGCACGUAGGCGGAUUGCUAAGUCAGGGGUGAAAUCCCGGGGCUCAACCUCGGAACUGCCUUUGAUACUGACAAUCUCGAGUCCGAUAGAGGUGGGUGGAAUUCCUAGUGUAGAGGUGAAAUUCGUAGAUAUUAGGAAGAACACCGGUGGCGAAGGCGGCCCACUGGAUCGGUACUGACGCUGAGGUGCGAAAGCGUGGGGAGCAAACAGG